AAGUCGUAACAAGGUUUCCGUAGGUGAACCUGCGGAAGGAUCAUUACUGAAGUUCUUGAGAGGUGCUGCUGGCUUUCCGAAGCAUGUGCACCCUCUCAUACUUUACUCAACCACCUGUGCACCUUUGUAGUCUCUCGGACGAUUCUCAGUCUUCUGGCUGGGUGGGACAUUUGCCGUCAGGCACUUGUCCAAUGUCUGGGAGCUACGUCUACAUAUACACUGUAAAUAACAAAGAAUGUAUCACGGUCUCUCUGGACCUUAAAAAAUAAUACAACUUUCAACAACGGAUCUCUUGGUUCUCGCAUCGAUGAAGAACGCAGCGAAAUGCGAUAAGUAAUGUGAAUUGCAGAUUUCAGUGAAUCAUCGAAUCUUUGAACGCACCUUGCGCUCUUUGGUAUUCCGAAGAGCAUGCCUGUUCGAGUGUCAUUAAAUUCUCAACUCCUCAAAGGUUGUCAUGACCUUUGUUGAGCUUGGACGUGAGGGCUGCCGGCUACCCAGUCGGCUCCCUUGAAAUUGAUUAGCGCAGCUUUGGCGAGCCGCUUCAAGUGUGAUAAUCUAUCUACUCUUGAGUGUCGUCUAAAACGGCUUUGUGCUUCAAACCGUCCCUCGUGGACAACAUUUUUUGAACUUGACCUCGAAUCAGGUAGGACUACCCGCUGAACUUAA
rnacentral:rRNA from 1 species